rnacentral:lncRNA from 10 species
CAGAAUCUGGGAUGAUUUUCUUCUGUUUCUUAUCUAAAAAAACAACAAAAAGCUCAGCAUACACGGACUCACACAAACCUUUUGCUAGAGGCAGCUCUGUAGACUUAAGACGCUGUCAUUUUUCAGAAGAACCCAGCUUGCUUUGGAACUACAGUCAGCCCUGCAACCCACCCUCACCUUGGACCCUGCUGCUGCUGUCUGUAAAGGGUCUGGAUGAAGGAAGGGAGCCUCCAGCUUGUCGGCUGUACUUGCCCAGAAUUUAGCCUUUGCAACAUGGAGCUGCGGGGAUGGGAAAUGUUGUCCACUAGCCUUCCGUAGACAAUGCUGCGAUGAAUACACCUGUGCAUUCUUUUUUAGAACAAGUG